rnacentral:rRNA from 1 species
UACGUAGGGGGCGAGCGUUGUCCGGAUUUAUUGGGCGUAAAGAGCUCGUAGGCGGUUUGGCAAGUCGGGUGUGAAAACUCCGGGCUCAACUCGGAGACGCCACUCGAUACUGCCAUGACUCGAGUCCGGUAGGGGAGUGCGGAAUUCCUGGUGUAGCGGUGAAAUGCGCAGAUAUCAGGAGGAACACCGGUGGCGAAGGCGGCACUCUGGGCCGGUACUGACGCUGAGGAGCGAAAGCGUGGGGAGCAAACGGG